rfam:Gossypium hirsutum cultivar TM-1 chromosome 23, whole genome shotgun sequence
AAUCCAUGGUGAGGGCAUUUCUGAAUCAACAUUUUGAAACAUUCCCAUGCCUCAUGAAAACUUUCUCCUUCCAUCUGUCUAAAGACAACAAUUUCUCUUUUUAGUUG